AUAACUGAGAGCACUGGAGAGCCACGGUCGAUGGCAUCGCUGGAGGACGCGUGGGCUGACAGACAGUCUGGUAGGCCAGCUUUUCUCCGCUGCCCUCCUGACGACCCCAACCUGCUCUGGAGGAGCCAGCCCUUCUAGGGGUCAGAGAUAAUUCACAUGGUGUCCAUGCUGCGUCUUUUCACGAUGGGUGACUGCUCUGCUAUGACGGAUGGCGCCGGGUCAGGUGGUGCAAUAACCCCUAGGAGCUGAGCAGAGGCCGUCCGCCUCAUUUCACUCGGGGCUUGUCAGGCCAUCCAGUUCCUUUCUGUCUUGAGAAUGCACAGCCGGACCCCUGAAGGAUCUCAGCUUUUCCCUCGGGGCUUUUUCCUCUGUGCAAGGAGAAGGAAAGAACAAAAACAGGUAUAAAAACAUCAUCUUCCUGUCAAUAGAUGACUUGAUGACAGGCUGAAACACUUUCGUGUUGUGAUGAGAGGUGAAAUGUCACUGAAAUGUCAUUGCCUGAGAUGCAAGGAGGCUUUCGUGUCCCAAAAUGAUUUCCAGGAAGAUAAGAUUGAACGUAGCGCCACCCUGGUAAAUGAGCGAGACUUUUAAAUGCCUCGCUGAAACGCAAAGAACACUUCAUCAUAUCAAGGAGAUAUUUUAAAAGCUGCCUGAAAAUGCAUCCAGAAGGAAGAUGUCUCCCUCGAGACUUGUCAGAACAGGUCUAGCAACAGGCAGUGCAAGCUUCCUCACACGCUGCCCCACCACUGUGCCUCCAGGCCUUGCCUGCCAUGACUGACGCCAGGGGGUAAGUCAGUCUCACUGCUCAUGCUACUCUUGGGCUGUCUUCUGAGAUUGCAACCUGAGUUGGUAAAUAUGAUGGUUUUCAUGGUGUGGAAAGUAAGCUGCUGUGACACAGGCUUUUGGUUGAUAACAGGUAGUCUCUGACAACCAAGACAUACUUUGCUACACAUGUCAUCGCCUUGGGGGCCUGAUACCACAGAUAGGAGGAGGGGACAUGCUAUGCAAAGUGUGCCUGCCUUCCCAAUUAAAUGGAAAAUGCUAUGAUUAAAAACAGUCAGAAGUUAUUGGAUGGAUAGUGCUGAACUAGGGGCUCUGCACCUGCCUGUUCUGGUGCUACUAAUGGCCUAUUGGAUAGGGGCAAAUCCUGCACCUAUCUUAACAUCGGGCUCUGUACCCAGAGCGGGUCGAGCAGUAAAUAUAGGCACCUCCAGUUCUGUGGAAUAACACCAUUGCCUCACUUGGGUUAGCGAUAGCGUGAGAUGCUCGAUGUGAGUAAGAGGGUCGGAAACUAGCCCUAGGUGAAAUGUUGAAAUUAUAGAAGGACAGAAAUGUAAACCUCCCUUUGAAAUG